CCUACGGGAGGCAGCAGUGAGGAAUAUUGGUCAAUGGUCGGGAGACUGAACCAGCCAAGCCGCGUGAGGGAGGAAGGUACAGAGUAUCGUAAACCUCUUUUGUCAGGGAACAAAGACUGGGACGCGUCCCCGGAUGAGUGUACCUGAAGAAAAAGCAUCGGCUAACUCCGUGCCAGCAGCCGCGGUAAUACGGGGGAUGCGAGCGUUAUCCGGAUUUAUUGGGGUUAAGGGGUGCGCGGGCGGUCUGUUAAGUCAGCGGGCAAAGCCCGGGGCUCAACCCCGGCCCGCCGUUGAAACUGGCAGUCUCGAGUUGGAGAGAGGUAUGCGGAAUGCGCGGUGUAGCGGUGAAAUGCGUAGAUAUCGCGCAGAACUCCGGUUGCGAAGGCAGCAUGCCGGCUCCACACUGACGCUGAGGCACGAAAGCGUGGGUAUCGAACAGGAUUAGAUACCCCAGUAGUC
rnacentral:rRNA from 1 species